UCCAGGGGCCUAGUGGACAUGGCACCUGCCCGGUAAGCAGAAGGUUGUGGGUUCGAUUCCCGCCCCUGGAA
rnacentral:tRNA from 1 species